CCUAGAGUUGUAGGCUUUGCCUGCUAUCUCUUACCCAUGUCUUUUGAGUACCUUCGUUUCCUCGGCGGGUCCGCCCGCCGAUGGACAAUUUAAACCAUUGCAGUUGCAAUCAGCGUCUGAAAAAACUUAAUAGUUA
rnacentral:misc_RNA from 1 species